rnacentral:lncRNA from 1 species
CGUGUGCACUCUUGUUUAUAUAAAUGAGACAGUUGGUUUUCUUGUUUAAAUUGUUUUACAUCAUUUUGGGGCCCUUUAAAAUAGCUUGCUAUUAGGUGUGAGCCAAGGCUGUGUGUUGAAUACAGUAAUUUGACCUAUAAUAGUUUACUUUUACACAUUGUCUCAUUGGCACUCAUACCACAUCUUUUAUCUUGUAACUAAGAUGUAUGCAUGAACCCAGC